GGGGUCGCGGGUCUGGGGACAAGCCUGGGAACAAGUCCUGCUCAGCAACCCCGGCGGCCGCCCAGCCCGUGCCCUCGGGCUGCGGACCAACGUUCUGAGCUCAGGGGCCCCUUCCACGCCAGUUCUCCAGGGUCCCUCGCAGUUGUGCAUUUUCUGAUUCUCUGGCAAGAUGGUCAGAAUUAGAAAAUGUCUUCUGAAUUUGGAAGUAUAGUCUUAGCCUUGUUUCUAUUGCUUUUCGAGAAAUUCAAGCAGAUGUUGAAGAUGCAGAACUCACAAUAGUGGUUCUGCUUAAGUGAGGUUCAUGGCUAACUCAAGACUUCAGGGGCUGCCUUCACUCUGGUCUUGCGUUAAUGCUGUAGGUCUUGUCCGCCUCUGGCAGCCUGCAGCCCCAGCCUACAGUGGAGGCCUGGGAACCUAUCCAUCCGCAGAAGAAGGCAGUGGCAUGCAGGACAUCGGCGGCAUGGGUGGAGUUAUGGUGAGAAUCAUUCACAUCCUAUAGACCAACAGCCCCAGAAGAAAGCUGCCCUUCUACUAUAGAAGAGGCCUUACUGCAUUAGUCUUUUCCCUGCCUCCGAGAGAGAUCAAAAGCCAAGUCUGUGGUGCUCUCAAACUCACUUUGUAAGGUGGAGCUUCAACAAGUUUGGGGCUGAGAGUACUUGGAACUCUUGGCUCCCUAGCACAAAGGAAUGACCUGAAAAGGACACUCAGUAAGUCCUCAUCCUCGGGCAUCACCAGGCUAAUGGCACAUCUUACCCACUCUGUCUCCAUAAAGGAGCUCACUCAGGGGCCACAGUCUCUGCUUGUUCGACAUUCCAGCAUGGCAUGAAAGGUAGAACCUGUGAAGUUUCUUGUGGCAAGAACUCACGUCUCCCUCAAAGUUUCCAGAUGUGAAAGUCUUGAGCGUGGCCAUCAAUCUUUCCCCACCUGCAGCCAGAGAAGUCACAUACCUUUUAUGUGUAACAGCUUCCAAUUCAAAGAUGUUGAACUCCCAACUUUCCUCAUUAUCAAGUAAUUGAGCGAUACAAGGGGGGACAUCGUUGAUGGUUAUUGGCAUCGCAAGGUGACUGUGACUCUGGUGCACAUCUGAGCAAACAGAUGGGGUUGGGGAGGCUGGUUAAUUGUGGAAUCUUGAGUGCCCCUGAGCAUUUGUCAUCAUCUCAUGGUUGCCAAUAUAAAGGGAGUCUUGAACUUCCAAGGGUAGGAAGAUUUUUCACUUCUGAGUUCUUCUCUUACAUUAUGAAACUUCAAGACCCCCCAGCAGAGAAUAAAAAUUUUAAAAAAUUCCUUUUAACUGUCUGUUUAAAUGUACAGAGAUCUGCACUUCUUAUUCGGACAUGCUCAGAGAAGUAAUUUUAAUUAGGAGACCUGGUUUCAGAUGCAGACCCCAAAGACCAGGAACUGCAAUGAGACCAACAGGAAGUAACACGAAGGCCCUCCCUGAACAGUAACCCCCACACAGGGGAAGGCACAAGCUGGAGGCCAGUUAGCACUAUAAAAUGGACAGAUGACAACUUACUCUUAGUGAACACAUACUCGUUUCCUGACAACCUUCUCAAGCCAUCCUGGAAUAAAGAAAGCUCCUAUUAGAACUGUGCUUUACAUGAGCCUAAUCAUCAUUCUCUCCUUUCUUCCAUUAGCCAAAGAGAGCUGAAUCCUGAAUCCCCUCAUCUGCAACUCCAAGUUGAAGCUAAAAAUUCAAUCAGAACAGUAUCUACAAGAAGGAGAUACUUCUUGUAGAUACUUCCCUUCUAUAGAGAUUAGCCCUGGGAGAUGGAGAAUUGAGAACGAAGCGGAGAGGACUUCAUUCAGGUUUCACACCCGACCUCUCAGUUGCCUUUGUUCUCAUACCAUCUUUGUCGUCUGGCAUCCUGAAGCCACUUUAGUGCAGUCACAGAAAGGGACCUGCCUUUGGAUGCGGGUUAUUUUGAAGAGACCCCACUUGCCAUCGUAAGGACUAUGUUAUUCUUAGAUUUAUAUAUUGGGGGACAAAAGCCAUAGGCCACAUUUUGGGGAUGACUUAAUGUAAGGCCUUAAAUAAACAGUGGGCUAAUUUUUGA